UGAACGCUAGCGGCAGGCUUAAUACAUGCAAGUCGAGGGGCAGCACGGUAUAGCAAUAUAUGGGUGGCGACCGGCAAACGGGUGCGGAACACGUACACAACCUUCCGGUGAGCGGGGGAUAGCCCAGAGAAAUUUGGAUUAAUACCCCAUACUAUAAUGAUCAGGCAUCUGGUUAUUAUCAAAGGCUUCGGCCGCUUAUUGAUGGGUGUGCGUCUGAUUAGGUAGUUGGCGGGGUAGAGGCCCACCAAGCCUACGAUCAGUAGCUGAUGUGAGAGCAUGAUCAGCCACACGGGCACUGAGACACGGGCCCGACUCCUACGGGAGGCAGCAGUAAGGAAUAUUGGACAAUGGACGCAAGUCUGAUCCAGCCAUGCCGCGUGAAGGAUGAAUGCCCUCUGGGUUGUAAACUUCUUUUACAGGGGAAGAAAGUUAUCUUUUUUAGGAUAUUUGACGGUACCCUAUGAAUAAGCACCGGCUAACUCC
rnacentral:rRNA from 1 species